CGGGUUGCUGCUCCAGUGAGGAAUAUUGCACAAUGGGGGGAACCCUGAUGCAGCAACGCCGCGUGGAGGAUGACGCAUUUCGGUGUGUAAACUCCUUUUAUAUGUCAAGAAAAUGACGGUAGCAUAUGAAUAAGCACCGGCUAACUCCGUGCCAGCAGCCGCGGUAAUACGGAGGGUGCAAGCGUUACUCGGAAUCACUGGGCGUAAAGGACGCGUAGGCGGGUUGGAAAGUCAGGUGUGAAAUCCUACAGCUUAACUGUAGAACUGCACUUGAAACUUCUAAUCUAGAGUAUGGGAGGGGGAGAUGGAAUUAGUGGUGUAGGGGUAAAAUCCGUAGAUAUCACUAGGAAUACCUAAAGCGAAGGCGAUCUCCUGGAACAUAACUGACGCUAAGGCGUGAAAGCGUGGGGAGCAAACAGGAUUAGAUACCCGCGUAGUC
rnacentral:rRNA from 1 species